rnacentral:rRNA from 1 species
CAGCAGUGGCAGACGGGUGAGUAACACGUGGGAACCUUCCUAGGGGUACGGAACAACUCAGGGAAACUUGAGCUAAUACCGUAUACGUCCGUGAGGAGUAAGAUUUAUCGCCCCUAGACGGGCCCGCGUAGGAUUAGGUAGUUGGUGAGGUAACGGCUCACCAAGCCUACGAUCCUUAGCUGAUCUGAGAGGAUGAUCAGCCACACUGGGACUGAGACACGGCCCAGACUCCUACGGGAGGCAGCAGUGGGGAAUCUUGGACAAUGGGCGCAAGCCUGAUCCAGCCAUGCCGCGUGAGUGAAGAAGGCCUUCGGGUUGUAAAGCUCUUUUACCAGGGACGAUAAUGACGGUACCUGGAGAAUAAGCCCCGGCAAACUUCGUGCCAGCAGCCGCGGUAAUACGAAGGGGGCUAGCGUUGUUCGGAAUUACUGGGCGUAAAGCGCACGUAGGCGGAUUGUUAAGUCAGAGGUGAAAUCCCGGAGCUCAACUUCGGAACUGCCUUUGAUA